AUGCUUGAAGAAAAGUUCCCUGCUCGUGGCAUCGAAGCAACAGAGAAGAAAGGCAUUGCUAAAUCAACAGCCUUGAAGCGUCGUCGAGCUGAAGAAAUUGAAGAUGUGCGUCAAAAGGAGUCCGAGAAGACUCGAAAAGCAUAUGCUUAUGCCAGCAAUGUCUUGUCAUGGGGUGUUGGGAUGUACGAGCAGUGCAAUGAGAUACAAAAGUUUCUUCAGACUUUGGCAACUAAGCAAGGAGUGUCUAUUGGAGAAAUACCACUGCCGCCGGUUCCACCUCCUUUUCAUUUGCUUUCUCCUCCUGGAUCUCCACAACAAUCUACCAUCCAAAUUAUAGAAAAUAGCGAAGAAUCGCCAGCUUUGUGUGCUCAACAAGAAACAAACCCUAGCUCUAUUAAUGAACAUGUUACUACUGCAAGUGUUCCUGCUGUAGACGAUGAAGGGAUGUUUGGGGGAUUUUUCAGUUAG
rnacentral:rRNA from 1 species